GUGGGGAAUCUUGCGCAAUGGGCGAAAGCCUGACGCAGCCAUGCCGCGUGAAUGAUGAAGGUCUUAGGAUUGUAAAAUUCUUUCACCGGGGACGAUAAUGACUGUAGCCGGAGAAGAAGCCCCGGCUAACUUCGUGCCAGCAGCCGCGGUAAUACGAAGGGGGCUAGCGUUGCUCGGAUUUACUGGGCGUAAAGGGCGCGUAGGCGGAUCGUUAAGUCAGGGGUGAAAUCCCAGAGCUCAACUCUGGAACUGCCCUUGAUACUGGCGAUCUUGAGUGUGAGAGAGGUAUGUGGAACUCCGAGUGUAGAGGUGAAAUUCGUAGAUAUUCGGAAGAACACCAGUGGCGAAGGCGACAUACUGGCUCAUUACUGACGCUGAGGCGCGAAAGCGUGGGGAGCAAACAGGAUUAGAAACCCCGGUAGUCC
rnacentral:rRNA from 1 species